rnacentral:lncRNA from 1 species
AAUAGAAAUGUGGUCAUUUUGGUCUUCUUCCGACUGCCAGUAAACCCUUGCCAAAGUUGGACAUACAUUUGGUUGCGCGGGAUGUAUAAUUUUUCACAAAUAUCAGAGUGGUGACAUUAUAUCCUGGUUCUUUGCAGGUUAAGAACCAUUGAAACAACUCUUUGCGGGGCCGUCUGUAACCUCUUGUCUAAGCCUGCUGAAUGGCAAAAUUCUGACCGUAUUCAAUAUAGUAGUUACUUUCAUUGUCCAUUCUCAGU